AUGCAUAAAGUGUCACUAAUAAUCAUUUUACAAUUAUCUUUGAAGAAUUUAAAUUGUGUUUCUUCCAAUUACAAAGUCAAAUUCUUAUCACUAAACUUACAUCUCAAAACAUAACAGUAUGGUAAUUUGCAGGUCACUAUAAUUGAAAAUGUGUGCCGGAAGGAGUUUGGACUUCUAGCAUUUGUUUGGGUUUCACUCAUUGCAGCACAGAUUGCCAAGGAACACGAGACAACUCAAGUGCAUCAACAAUGGGAAAAGGAUAAUCAACAUCAAUAAAUAGUAAUAUCUUAUGAGAUGGCUUUAGGAUAUUAUUGAGGUUUUAAGUCUUUUUCAACUU
rnacentral:lncRNA from 1 species